rnacentral:rRNA from 1 species
CACGUAGGCGGAUUUGUUAGUCAGGGGUGAAAUCCCGGGGCUCAACCUCGGAACUGCCUUUGAUACUGCAAGUCUUGAGUCCGAGAGAGGUGAGUGGAAUUCCUAGUGUAGAGGUGAAAUUCGUAGAUAUUAGGAAGAACACCAGUGGCGAAGGCGGCUCACUGGCUCGGUACUGACGCUGAGGUGCGAAAGCGUGGGGAGCAAACA